ACACGUCUUCAGGGCGGGGUGGAACUCCCCACCGGCGGUAGGCGGCUUCGGCCGCGAGCCCGCGAGCGCCCGGCGCGAGCCGGGGUCAGCAGAUCUGGUGCGAAGCCAGGGCCGACGGUCACAGUCCGGAUGAAAGAAGACGUGC
rnacentral:ncRNA from 2 species